rnacentral:rRNA from 1 species
UGGGGAAUUUUGGACAAUGGGGGAAACCCUGAUCCAGCCAUCCCGCGUGUGCGAUGAAGGCCUUCGGGUUGUAAAGCACUUUUGGCAGGAAAGAAACGUCAUGGGUUAAUACCCCGUGAAACUGACGGUACCUGCAGAAUAAGCACCGGCUAACUACGUGCCAGCAGCCGCGGUAAUACGUAGGGUGCAAGCGUUAAUCGGAAUUACUGGGCGUAAAGCGUGCGCAGGCGGUUCGGAAAGAAAGAUGUGAAAUCCCAGAGCUCAACUUUGGAACUGCAUUUUUAACUACCGGGCUAGAGUGUGUCAGAGGGAGGUGGAAUUCCGCGUGUAGCAGUGAAAUGCGUAGAUAUGCGGAGGAACACCGGUGGCGAAGGCAGCCUCCUGGGAUAACACUGACGCUCAUGCACGAAAGCGUGGGGAGCAAACAGG